rnacentral:rRNA from 1 species
UGGAGCCUGCGGCUUAAUUUGACUCAACACGGGGAAACUCACCAGGUCCAGACACAACUAGGAUUGACAGAUUGAUAGCUCUCUCAUGAUUUUGUGGGUGGUGGUGCAUGGCCGUUCUUAGUUGGUGGAGUGAUUUGUCUGCUUAAUUGCGAUAACGAACGAGACCUUAACCUNCUAAAUAGCCCGGCUAGCUUUNGCUGGUUGCCGGCUUCUUAGAGGGACGUUCGGCUC